rnacentral:lncRNA from 1 species
GGGGGAUUUAGGUGCAAGAUAGGACGGGGAGGGGGGAUUUGGGUGCCUUCCUACUGUAGGAACUUGAGCAGGGACCUGCUGGAGUGAUUUUUUUUUCUCUCGGUCCCUACUAUUUGAGCAGGGGUUGUUUGAGCGGGGGUUGAGGUAGAGAUCUUGCUGGAGAUGCUAUUACAAGUAACGAACCAUGUUAAGACCCGUUACCGCUCAGCAGCAGUAACGGGCAGCAACCAAUGUCCGUUACCUUUUAACUCCAAAGGUAACGUACCUUAGGGCCUGUUUGGAUCCAAUGGAAAGAGAAACAGAAAGUGUAAAAAUUUUGCUCUUUUGCACUUUUUUUGCAUUUUUGGAUCCAAACAUCCCAAAGUGCAAAAGGGCAAAUGCUACCGU